AGACAGGGUUUCUCUGUGUGGCCCUGGCGGCCCUGGAACUCUCGCUGUAGACCAGGUGCUGGUAUUGAAGGAUUCUGCCAUAUACUGAAGACCAGCUGAGACAUCCAGCCUCAUGAACUAAACAACUACUGGAAUUUUGGAUCUUCUGUUAGGAGAAAGCCAUUGUUGGACUACCUGGACCAUAGCAUGAUAGCUGAAACAAGUAGGACCCCUACAACUAACAGAAGAGCCAGUGGAAGAACCUCACCAAGUUCACCAGGCGACGGAGACCAUCAUAACGGUCAAAGAGCUCCAAGACAGCCCGGAACGA